rnacentral:rRNA from 1 species
UACGUAGGGUGCGAGCGUUGUCCGGAAUUAUUGGGCGUAAAGAGCUCGUAGGCGGUCUGUCGCGUCUAUCGUGAAAACUGGAGGCUUAACUUUCAGCGUGCGGUGGAUACGGGCAGACUUGAGUUCGGUAGGGGAGACUGGAAUUCCUGGUGUAGCGGUGAAAUGCGCAGAUAUCAGGAAGAACACCAAUGGCGAAAGCAGCUCUCUGGGACGGUACUGACGCUGAGACGCGAAAGCGUGGGGAGCGAACAGG